rnacentral:rRNA from 1 species
AGCAGUAUGGCUUACCAGGCGAGACGGGUAGCUGGUCUGAGAGGAUGGCCAGCCACACGGGGACUGAGACACGGCCCCGACUCCUACGGGAGGCAGCAGUGGGGAAUAUUGGGCAAUGGGCGCAAGCCUGACCCAGCGACGCCGCGUGGGUGAUGAAGGCCUUCGGGUCGUAAAGCCCUGUCGGGUGGAAAGAAUGAGGACUGGGCAAAUAGCGCAGUCCUGUGACGGUACCACCGAAGGAAGCACCGGCCAAUUACGUGCCAG